UAAGAAAGUAUACUUAAAACAAGAAAUCAAAUAAAGUAUAUCAAAUCAAAUUCCAUUUCCAAAUGGCAGUAAAGCGUGUGUUACAUAGAAUCAUUGCAUGAAAGUGUUUUAGUAGCCAAGAUGAGAUUGUACACUGCUGAAUAAGCAAGAGUUCUUUUUUCAUUUUCAUCUUCCAGUUCAACCAGGUAUUUGGGUUCUUUUUUCUAUUCACUCAUGUCACAUGGAGACCUGUGUUGUAAAUUACUUUGUCAGAAUGAAAGUCUGGCAGAUUAAAUUCUUUCUUCUCUUCUUGCUGUACUUGAUAAUGAUCUCUUGUUCAUUUUUUGAUAAUGCGUUUGCUUAUUUAUGUUCUCAUUGCUUUUAGAGUCUGAGAAGGCUUUGGGUUCCCAGUUCUGUGUGUUCCUGUCUGGCUCCUGAACCCAGCUGGAGAAAUAUGUCAGUCCCAACUGGUGAAGUACUGAGAGGAAGCUACACAAAAGGUAGAAAGUUUGAUGGGAAGGCCAUCCAGAGGAGGUGUAGGUGCAGCCCUUGUGAAAAGAGCCCUGAUAUGAUGACGUUGUGUAAAAAUCUUGCCUGUGUGUACCACAGGAUGUGUACUUGA
rnacentral:lncRNA from 1 species